UCCGGUUGAUAAGCUGCUUUGGUGAAUUAAAACUCCAUUUUUAUUGAAUUCAAGGCCCGCCGCAACUUUGCCGGGUAGGGCUGUGUCUUACCAAAGCAGCUGGAACUGUGAUGUGGUACACGAUGGGUCGCUCCGAUGUCGUCAUCCGGCUAGACGUUUGCUGGUGGCGCGUACCGCAGGUGAAGAUAUUACGCGCAUGUCCUGCUGUUGCUCCAACAGGAUAUCGUCACAGGACCCGGAGCGGUGGGUGUACACAAGAAAUCUUCUUUUCCUCCGGCCCGUUGCUGUGUGCUGCUCCUCUCGACAGGGCGUUUUUCGGUGUGGAAAAGGAUGCGAACCUCUAAAAAAAUCAAACCUUUGCAGUACAGUGCACUGCUGAAGGGCCGGGCGUGGUCAUGAAUGUGAUUGUGCGAACAGUAAUGAGUUGCAGGAGAUUUGACGCCUCUUUUGUAGAACUCUUUUUGAUAAUAAACAUAUUGUGAGGGGAUUUAGUAUCUUGUAA